rnacentral:tRNA from 1 species
GGGGGUAUAGUUAGUGGAAGAGCGCAUGCCUAGCACGCACGAGGUCCCGGGUUCGAUCCCCAGCACCUCCG